CAGCGGCUGUUGGCUCGCAGCGAGAGUUUUUGAAGCAACUUUACAAAGGGUUUUGUUAUUUUGGCGGUUGGCAUAAACUGGAGUGUGACUGGAUUGGGAUGACCACAAAGGUAGAUGGGGGUGGUGAUGAAGAUGAUAUGGA